AAUGGUGUUAAUUGUGGCAAAUGGCAUCUCUUUACUUGGUGGAACACCUGCUCGCCGGGCCACCCCGCCCCGCCCCGCCACCCACCACUGACCGCUCCUGUGCGGCGCCGCGCUGGCAGGUGAAGAAGCACUGAGAGGGAAGGCAGAAUAGUGAGAGUAACAAAAAGAAUGGCAUGUUGGUUGUCUGUCAGUAAGCAAAGGUUAACUAUUCAUACACGGUUGAAGGCACUUAAUUAAGGCGGUGUGUGUGUGUGUGUGUGUGUGUGUGUGUUGACAAAUAGGGCUAAGGCAGUAACAGAUCCAUCCGCCCCAGGACUGUCCAUCACGAAACGCUCCCCGGGGCCUCUUGGUGCAGGCGGCGUGACUGGAACGUGAGUCACUGCCUGGCGGAGGAACCUGCGGCGCCAGGAGGGAAUUGUCCAGUAAUAAACUGCGGGCUACUCCCAUGGACGUGAUGGGGAUCGAGCCCCUGUGGAGGACUUGGUCAUGCCCAUUUUACUGUAAACACCCAGAUGUCCUUGCACUCACAGAAACCUGGCUAAAUGAAUCUACCAAACAUCUUUUCUUUAUGGAAGGAUAUUCUGCAUUCCAUCUGGUUAGAACUAACAAGGAACACGGAGGUAGCAGUAUUUUUGUAAGGAAUGACAUUCAUACAGAUGUACUACAUGAAUAUUGUUGGAUCAAUGACGAUAUAGAACUCUAUACACUAAGAGUUAAAAUAGCUACAAUUGAAUAUGUAAUAACCACGCUUUACAGACCUCAUAGCAAACAUAUAGCUGUAAAUGAUUUUACUGACACCUUAAUUAACAAAGUAACUAUUGAUGUUUUCAGGUGCAACAAAACCAUUAUUCUUGGUGAUUUCAACAUUAAUUUACUUGAACAUACAUCUCAUCUAAUAUCUUCAUUAAUGCAAUGCAAGCAAUGAAUUAUUUUCCUCGCAUAUCUCGGCCGACCAGAUUCCCAGAUAAUCCACAACUAGGUAAACCCUCCCUUUUAGACCAUGUUUGGACGAAUUUCUUACCACCAUCUUUAUCUGGCAUUUUACAUUAUAGUGUUUCUGAUCACUUACCCGUUUUCAUUAAUGUGAUUAAACAAUCUGAACCUAAUAGUAAGCUCAAGAUAACUUUCAGGGAC